rnacentral:pre_miRNA from 1 species
AGAGGUAGUAGGUUGCAUAGUUUUGAGGCAGGAAUUCUGCCUACAAGGAGGUAACUAAACAACCUGCUGUCUUCC